CUCUGAACCUGCAGGGGCAUGGGGAGGGUGGUACAAAUGAGGGCAGCUCACGAGCUUGCUCUGCUCCUCUGCCUUUCCAUAGAAAGGCUGAAGCCACCCCUGACGGAGGGGGACCCUGGGCCAGGGGGACCUUUGGUCUCCCCUGCCAGCAUCGCAGCCUACCAGCAGAACACAAGCAAAGCAGGGCAAAACCUGGAGUCCAAGGACCAGCUCUCCACAUGACACAUGCCUGUAGUACACGGUGACUGGCAGGUCCCCUAUAACAGAUGAAGCACAGAGGACCCUCAAUAAAUGUUUGCUGAUUUCAAGAAAAUGGACUUUGGGCUUGGCUGGCAUUCAUGCCAAACUAUGAGACUCACCAUCAAGGCUGUUGCAUUGUGCUGGAGUUUCAUCAGUGAGGAGUGUGAUGAAUUGUCUUAGGGUACUCAGAGGACUGGCUGAUUAUACCCCCAACAGUGCCUGGGUCACAAAUUCCCAGCUGUCAAAUUACCAACUGCAUGCCCAGGGUCAGGGCCAAUCCCUCCCAGAGAGACAGUUGGCAGGGCCACUGUGUCAGUAAUGUCACGUACCCAAGCAUGACCUUAAGCUGCCCUCAGAGUCCAGCCCCAUCCUGCUCAGCUCUUGAGCUCUGUUAUCAGGCCUGUGCAUGCUUGAACCCCUCCUCCCAUAGAUGAAUUGGGUUGUAUAAGUAUUAAAGGUUGCUGGAUUUCUAUG